AAAACGACUCUCGGCAACGGAUAUCUCGGCUCUCGCAUCGAUGAAGAACGCAGCGAAAUGCGAUACCUGGUGUGAAUUGCAGAAUCCCGCGAACCAUCGAGUCUUUGAACGCAAGUUGCGCCCGAAGCCUUCCGGCCGAGGGCACGCCUGCCUGGGUGUCACGC
rnacentral:rRNA from 1 species